rnacentral:rRNA from 1 species
AGAGUUUGAUCAUGGCUCAGGACGAACGCUGGCGGUAUGCUUAACACAUGCAAGUCGAACGAGACAAAAGAGAAGUGCUUGCACGGAUCUUUUAGAAAGUGGCGAACGGGUGAGUAACGCGUGGGUAACCUACCCUAUGGAAAGGAAUAGCCUCGGGAAACUGGGAGUAAUGCCUUAUAAGAUAUAUUUGUCGCAUGGCAGAUGUAUUAAACGCUCCGGUGCCAUAGGAUGGACCCGCGUCCCAUUAGCUAGUUGGUGAGAUAACAGCUCACCAAGGCGACGAUGGGUAACCGGUCUGAGAGGGCGAACGGUCACACUGGAACUGAGACACGGUCCAGACUCCUACGGGAGGCAGCAGUGGGGAAUAUUGCGCAAUGGGGGAAACCCUGACGCAGCAAUACCGCGUGAGUGAAGAAGGUUUUCGGAUCGUAAAGCUCUGUUAUUGGGGAAGAAAAAAAGACGGUACCCAAGAAGAAAGUCCCGGCUAACUACGUGCCAGCAGCCGCGGUAAUACGUAGGGGACAAGCGUUGUCCGGAUUUACUGGGCGUAAAGGGCACGCAGGCGGUUUUUUAAGUCAGAUGUGAAAGGUACCGGCUCAACCGGUGACAUGCAUUUGAAACUGAAAGACUUGAGUAUUGGAGAGGCAAGUGGAAUUCCUAGUGUAGCGGUGAAAUGCGUAGAUAUUAGAGGAACACCGGUGGCGAAAGCGGCUUGCUGGACAAUACUGGCGCUGAGUGCGAAAGCGUGGGGAGCAAACAGGAUUAGAUACCCUGUAGUCCACGCCGUAA